GAUGAACGCUGGCGGCGUGCCUAAUACAUGCAAGUCGAGCGAACAGACGAGGAGCUUGCUCCUUCGACGUUAGCGGCGGACGGGUGAGUAACACGUAGGUAACCUACCUAUAAGACUGGGAUAACUUCGGGAAACCGGAGCUAAUACCGGAUAAUAUUUCGAACCGCAUGGUUCGAUAGUGAAAGAUGGCUUUGCUAUCAUUUAUAGAUGGACCUGCGCCGUAUUAGCUAGUUGGUCAGGUAACGGCUUACCAAGGCAACGAUACGUAGCCGACGUGAGAGGUUGCUCGGCCACACUGGAACUGAGACACCGUCCCGACUCCAACGGGAGGCCGCAGUAGGGAAUCUUCCGCAAUGGGCGAAAGCCUGACGGAUAAACGCAGCGUGAGUGAUGAAGGUCUUCGGAUCGUAAAACUCUCUUAUUAGGGAAGAACAAACGUGUAAGUAACUAUGCACGUCUUGACGGUACCUUAUCAGAAAGCCACGGCUAACUACGUG
rnacentral:rRNA from 1 species